AGCUGUCCUAGAGCGGCCCCACCAGCGGCUACUUCCGGCCUCCAAGGCCAGGAAGACUCUAGCUCCCCGGAGCCGGGCGGCUGGUGGGGAGGGGAUUUUGGGUCCCUGGCCCUGCUCCCGGCUCCCUGCUGAGGAACGGGGGUGUCUCCGGCCCGCGCCGAGGCCCAAAUGCCUAGACGUGUUGCGGGAUACCGGUAGCCACCUGGGUUCGCUCGAUGAGGUCCGGCCGUCUGGGAUCUGUGAAAAGGGAAAGGGACGGAUGGGAUGCGCAGGUCUGAGUGCCAGACUGGCCCCCAACUCCUCCUGCCCUAGGAUGACUUCGUUUCCCGUGACCCCCGCGAGAUCUGCCUAACUGAAAUUUACAACUGAGCCUCUACCGCCCGGCUCCUCCGUGGUGCGCCAAGACUUCUGCAAAAUGUUCAGUACCUGUGUAUCACAGUGUGAAAACCCCUGGCAUGCUAACCGCCAAUUCAAACCCCAUCCCUCCCUACAGGAGAAUGACCCCAUUGGCUCCAGCUACAAGGAAUCUUUGGUUUUUUUGGACACACAUCUGUCUUAACGGUAAUCUAACGUCUUUCAAUGCCCUUUUCAAAUGCCGUCCCUAAAAAAUUCCUCCUGGAGCUCUUCUGCCCCAUGCAGG